rnacentral:rRNA from 1 species
CACGUAGGGUGCGAGCGUUUGUCCGGAAUUAUUGGGCGUAAAGAGCUCGUAGGCGGUGUGUCGCGUCGGCCGUGAAAACCUGCAGCUUAACUGUGGGCUUGCGGUCGAUACGGGCAUCACUGGAGUUCGGCAGGGGAGACUGGAAUUCCUGGUGUAGCGGUGAAAUGCGCAGAUAUCAGGAGGAACACCGGUGGCGAAGGCGGGUCCUCUGGGCCGAUACUGACGCUGAGGAGCGAAAGCGUGGGGAGCGAACAGG